rnacentral:rRNA from 1 species
GACGAACGCUGGCGGCGUGCUUAACAAAUGCAAGUCGAACGGAAAGGCCCUGCUUCUGUGGGUUGCUCGACUGGCGCACGUGUGUGUAACACGUGAGUAACCUGCCCUUGACUUUGGGAUAACUUCAGGAAACUGGGGCUCCUCCCGGAUAGGAGCUCCUGCUCCAUGGUGGGGGUUGGAAAGUUUCGUCGGUGGGGGAUGGACUCGCGGCUUAUUAGCUUGUUGGGGGGGUAGUGGCUUACCAAGGCUUUGACGGGGAGCCGGCCUGAGUGGGUGACCGGCCACAUCAGGACGGAGAAAGGGCCCAGACUCAGACGGGAGGCAGCGGAGUGGAAGAUAGCAUAAGAGGAGGAAGUCUAAUGCAGCAACGCAGCGUGCGGUAUGACGGCCUGGGGGUAGUAAACUGCUUACGCCUGUGACGAAGAGUGAGGGACGGGAAUGGGUGAAGAAGCCCCGGCUAACUACGUG